GCGCCUGGCUGAGAUGUUUCCUGCAUACCAAGGAGGACGCUGGAGACCAUACUGGAGGCCAAACCCCUGGGAAAAGGCAGCAUUGUGCUGUGGGACACGGAGCAGGUGCUGAGGUCCACAAGCAGCUCUUGGGCAGGCCAAAUACAGCGACUCCCAUCAAGGCACCCCCAGACAGGCAGCUCCCUGUCCAGGAGGAGCAGAGCCCUGCCCCUGGGCAGGGGACGCUGCUGGAGCCAGGUGGCACGCGGGUCCCCAGCCCUGCGGGGACAAGGGCAGGUACGGGGGGAAAAGUAUGGGUCAAAUGUUUGGUUGUCUGGGUGUUUAGAGGGAGCGAGGAGCAAUUUUGACCCAAUCAAACUCACCAGCUGCUGCUGGAAGGAGUGGAGGAGGUAACUGAGUGUCCUGCCACAGGGGCAGCUGGCAAACGGGCACAGGGAAGGGGAGAGGAAGGGAGGAGGAGGAGGCAGGGAUGAAGGAUGUGGAGAGCGGAUGUGCUGCAUGGGCGGGAGAGGAGGAUGAGCGAGGCUGAAGGAGCAGAGACCCUGCAAUAUAAACACACCACCAGGAUGCAGGGGGAGAGGGGAUGGACUGUCAAGGCAAGAGGCAAAAGCACCAAAUAUUUAUUUGUCUGCAAAACAAGUCUCCAUGGCAAUGAAGUGCCUCACAACUCAUUUCCAAAACAAGCCCGGCCACACGGCGCUGGGACAGAGCUGCGGGGCGUGGAGGGGCAGGGGGGCUCCGGCUGUGUCCCCGGGCAGGUGCGAAGUGCACAAACCUACCAGGGGCUAGGAGGGCGAGGGAUGGAAAAAUUUCAGCAGCUAUCGGGCUUCCAGGGGCUUACGGUUACACCUUGCCCUCCAUGAAGGCAGGGGCAGGAUUGGGCCCCUGCAUGUGGAGGGUCCGACCCAGCACCUCCAUGGGAAGAGCUGGCAACGCCGAGCUCCUCAGGCAAACAGCACCGCGAAUGAUCUGGCUCUAAACCUGCGGGGCCAUAAAUCCUAUUAUUUUGCUGCCAGCUGAACAAUUUGUUCCUGUAACAAGGUGCUUUAACCUUGCUUCACACUCAUUGUUCUGCCCUCUUUGAUUUUACUGUAAGUGACUGAAUUUGCUUCUGGUGCGCUGCCAGCACCCCAUUGAUCGUGGCCCCAUGAGGAUGGCCGAGUGCCCCGGUGCUGCUGGCGGGGCUGUGAGCAGUGCCCAAACCCAAAUCCCUUCAGGGACUGCAGGAUCCCCCCAGGAACCGGCCGGCGCUUCGAGCUGGCGAGCAGAGCCCAGGCCGAGUGCACUCCGUGUGGUUUGAGGUUUCGUCUGCAGCGGCUGGGGAGGGUUUUGGUUCCCAGCACCUCUCACAGAGCAUGCUGGAGGUAACAGAGGCAAUAAAACCGCCCCCACAAAACCCACACUUAACCGAAUGUUUCCAAGCCCAGCAGCACUAGGGGGACUGAUCCUUCUCCUCUUCCUGCCGUUGCCAAAAUUCCUAUUAACCCUGUUGGCAGCUGGAGCUGACUCCCAUUUUCCAGCCUGUAAUGCUGCCUGGUUUCUGUCCCUCGGUGCCUGAGGGCUUCUGUCCGUCCCCCCCAGAGAAGGCAGCCCAGCGAGCUCUGGCAGUGCCCCGGCAGGAGGCUUUGUUCCCCAGAGCCCACCUGCCCUGGAAGCGCAGGGUGACGGUCGGGCUCGUGACCAGGAGGAAGCCGUGGCCCUGCCGCCAGCGAACAAUCGGCGGAAACGGGCCCGGCGUCCCGGGGCUGGGGAGGGCGGCGUGAGGAUGGGGCAGGGACCCGCCGCCCCCGCAGGGGACAGUCCUGUCCCUGUCCUGGCUCUGCCCCACAUGCGUGUGCCCCUUCAGAGGGACAGGCCUGCGGCUCCCGACUCAGCUCCUGGGGGGGAACGUGGGGGAUUGUGGUGGCGCAUGGUGCCCACGACACGAUCCACGUGGCACGGCGCUGGGUGUGCGCGGUGCCCGGUGUGCUGUGCGGUGCCCGGUGCCUGGCACGCUGGGCGUGUUGCACGCUGCCGUCUGAGCGUGGCACAUUGCCCGGUGUGUGGCGUGCGGCGUGCGAGGCCGGGCGCGCGCUGCGUGGUGUGCGGCACGCUGACCUCUCGCUGCCUCUGGCCCUGAGCGGGGGCCGGGAAGGGAAGUGCCGCCGGUCCCGCUGCUUUCAUCGGGAGAUCUGGAGCGCAGGAGCCUGCCCAGAUCCUAAUCAGUGUGGGAAAGAAACGGCCAGGCCCGCUCUCGCCGCAGCCUGCUGGAGACGCCUUUUAUUUUCAUAAACUUUAUCGCAGCCCGCAGCCCCUGAUAAACCACCGUAAAUAAGCGCAGGGGAGCGUGGCGCAUGGCCAGCAGCCGCUCGCGGACGCACGCGCUGGCGGCCGCUCCCGGGGGACGCGCGGUCGCACGCCAGCCGCCCAGGCCUCCUUUCAUCCCCCGCCGCGGCGCGGGGACGCCACAUGGCCCCGGGCCCUGGCCGAGCUGGGGGCUGCUCCCUGCGCUCCCACCCCAGCCCCUCGGGGCCCCGGCGGGGCAGGAUGCGGCCGCGUCCUCUCCAGGCGGCGAGAAGGGGCUCGUGUCCCAACAGAAGGCCGAAAGCAGUGGCAGGUCCCCGUCCCUCCCCCAGGGCUGCGCUGCUGUGGAGUUUGAGGAUUGUUGAGCUUUGCCACAAAUUAAUAGCUUGGGCUGCUUUCUGUUUUCUUCUAUUUUUUUUCGCUUUGCUAGAAAAGUUUGGGUUUUGUUUAAAAAAGUUUACAUUCUUCUGGGAGCAAGGAAAAAACAGGAUCUGGGGGGUUGUUUGCACGCUCGUUCCGCAGGCUGACAAUUUUCCGUUUCUGUUUGCAGUUGCUGGGGGUGGAAGCCAUCCCUGAGCGCUGGCGGCUGCCCCAGGGCGCCUGGCUGCCCAGCACCCUGCUCCCACUGCAGGCAGGGGCUGGGGGCACACGUGUGCUUUUCUUUCAUUUUUCACAGUGUGACUUGUGGUGGCCACCCGUGGCGGAUUAUCACCGGGGUUUGGCCAGGCAUGUCCACCUCUGGCAGGGGCACCCGUCGGGACGCCGUCCCCGCUCUCCCCCAGCACUCCUCGCGGCGUUUCACCCCAAUCCCCCAGCCUGCCACAAUCCCUUUUCUGUCCGCAGCCUCACAGGCGGGAUAAAUGCUCUCUCUGUUCCGCCGCGCCAGGAGCGCUCGGCAGCGGCUUCCCCACAAGCGAGCCAUUGAGAGCAGCUCCCUCAGCGCCAUCACCCGCGGCUCCGCGCCCGUCCCGGGGCACCCUGCCCACACCCCUGCCUGCACCCCCUGCCUGCUGGCAGGGCACGGGCAGAGCCCCCGGGGACACCCGUCCCCGCCGUACCCCGCUGGAGGAGGAAAUGGAGCCAGCCUGACGUGUUGGUUCAUGACAGACCCGUGUCAGAUGUUACUCAUCCCCGUGCUCACUUCCAGAUGCUGCCCAACGCCUGCUGCUGGGUUAUUCAUGCAGUGUUUUCCUAGGGGAGCCCUUGGUCCUCAUACUGCUCAAAGCUGCACACCUGCCAGCCCUGUACAGAGAUUUUUUAAUAUAGACAUUUCUGUGCAAUGUUUUAAAAUGCGGAGGGGCUGCUUCUCCUACAGCCAUACUGCUUGCACCUCUGAUAGAGGCGUGUUGUGGGGGGAAUGAACCCUCCAGCUACUGCAAAUGAGAACUGCUUUACUUUCCAGGCUCACCAGAAGACAAGCUUUCAGAGACAGACACAGCGACUCUCCACAACUGUUUCAGCUCUUGGAAGAACACCCGCUUCUUUCAGCAGGAACGUUUUUGUGUCGGGUGUCCCAGCUACACUGUGCAAUCUUUCACACGAGGACCUCUAGAUGCUCCGCUCCUCCUUGUGCAAUGUCUUGGCUCUGGGUCUUGGCUUUGCUGAAAGCGGCGGAGUCUGAGGGCUCCUUGGGGCAGAUUGGGCAGAUUGGGUCCCUGGGAAAGCUGAGGAAAACAUCCAGAGCUUCAGCUGUGUUUGUGAGAGCCCUCGGAGGGCCACUCGGUGGCUGUGUUACUCACCUGGCCACGCUUCAGCUGGGGAGCUCAGGAGCUGCUGCGCCAGCAGAUUUUCAGGCGUGCAGCAGCUCUGCCAGCUCUCCAGAGGAGACACACGGCUGCAGGGGCCUGGGCCUUCCCCUGGGGUCGCCGUGACACAGUGACACACCAGAAAUCAGACACUGGAAUGCCUGGUGUCCUGUAAAAGAGCUGAGGAAGGGGGUUUGUGACCCAGAGUCCUCCUGGGGAGGUAGGCAGCACGAGGGCUGGUCCCCCCUGGGGUGAUGGUGCUCACCGAGGUCAUCCCAUGGCAGGAGCCACCCCCAUGUCACCACCCCUGCUCCAUGGGCUCCUUCUGGAGGUCUCUGGUCAUGAGACAAGCUGAGGCCCAUCUCCGGUGUCCUGUUCACCCCAGAGCCUCCAGGGACUCUGAAAUGUGGUUUUGUGCGCGUGACCAAGGAGUGUCCUUGAACCUUCCUCCCUGAGGUUUUAUUCUCCAAGGUGCUGGCAAUGGGAAAAAGCUCUCCGUGCCCUUCCCCCACCCCAAAGCAUCCUUUACAAAAAUAAAGUGCCCAAAAUAGCCCUA